rnacentral:rRNA from 1 species
AGUGAACGCUGGCGGUAGGCCUAACACAUGCAAGUCGAACGGCAGCACAAGAGAGCUUGCUCUCUGGGUGGCGAGUGGCGGACGGGUGAGGAAUACAUCGGAAUCUACUCUGUCGUGGGGGAUAACGUAGGGAAACUUACGCUAAUACCGCAUACGACCUACGGGUGAAAGCAGGGGACCUUCGGGCCUUGCGCGAUUGAAUGAGCCGAUGUCGGAUUAGCUAGUUGGCGGGGUAAAGGCCCACCAAGGCGACGAUCCGUAGCUGGUCUGGGAGGAUGAUCAGCCACACUGGAACUGAGCCACGGUCCAGACUCCUACGGGAGGAAGCAGUGGGGAAUAUUUGACAAUGGGCGCAAGCCUGAUCCAGCCAUACCGCGUGGGUGAAGAAGGCCUUCGGGUUGUAAAGCCCUUUUGUUGGGAAAGAAAUCCAGCUGGCUAAUACCCGGUUGGGAUGACGGUACCCAAAGAAUAAGCACCGGCUAACUUCGUGCCAGCCGCCGCCGUAA